rnacentral:rRNA from 1 species
UACGGGGGGGGGCAAGCGUUUGUUCGGAAUUACUGGGCGUAAAGGGCUCGUAGGUGGCCAACUAAGUCAGACGUGAAAUCCCUCGGCUUAACCGGGGAACUGCGUCUGAUACUGGAUGGCUUGAGUUCGGGGAGAGGGAUGCGGAAUUCCAGGUGUAGCGGUGAAAUGCGUAGAUAUCUGGAGGAACACCGGUGGCGAAGGCGGCUCACUGGACCGGUACUGACGCUGAUGCGCGAAAGCGUGGGGAGCAAACGGG